UUUUUAUACAACCGCAAAAAUUUUAAUUUUUUGGUCGUAUAUUGCUAUCACGUUGGCGUCGUCUUCCUGCGUCGUCGUCGUCGUCCGAAUACUUUUAGUUUUCGCACUCUAACUUUAGUAAAAGUGAAUAGAAAUCAAUGAAAUUUUAACACAAGGUUUAUGACCACAGAAGGAAGGUUGGGAUUGAUUUUGGGAGUUUUGGUCCCAACAUUUUAGGAAAUAGGGGCCAAAAAGGGCCCAAAUAAGCAUUUUCUUGGUUUUCGCACUAUAACUUUAGUUUAAGUAAAUAGAAAUCUAUGAAAUUUUGACACAAGGUUAAUGACCACAAAAGGACGGUUGGGAUUGAUUUUGGGAGUUUUGGUUCCAACAGUUUAGGAAUUAAGGGCCAAAAAAGGGCCCAAAUAAGCAUUAUUCUUGGUUUUCGCACAAUAACUUUAGUAUAAGUAAAUAGAAAUCAAUGAAAUUUAAACACAAGGUUUAUGACCACAAAAGGAAGGUUGGGAUUGAUUUUUGGAGUUGAGGUCACAACAGUUUAUGAAUUAGGGGCCAAAAAGGGGCCC
rnacentral:lncRNA from 1 species